rnacentral:pre_miRNA from 1 species
UGUUUAGUAUAAUAUGUUUCAUGCAAUAUUUAGGACAUACUUAUACUAAAA